AACGGGAUAAAUGGCAGCUUGCUGUUGGGGUGAGAGUGGUGAACGGGUGAGUAAUGCGUGACCAACCUGCCCUGUGCACCGGAAUAGCUCCUGGAAACGGGUGGUAAUACCGGAUGCUCCGCUCCAUCGCAUGGUGGGGUGGGAAAUGCUUUUGCGGCAUGGGAUGGGGUCGCGUCCUAUCAGCUUGUUGGCGGGGUGAUGGCCCACCAAGGCGUUGACGGGUAGCCGGCCUGAGAGGGUGACCGGCCACAUUGGGACUGAGAUACGGCCCAGACUCCUACGGGAGGCAGCAGUGGGGAAUAUUGCACAAUGGGCGCAAGCCUGAUGCAGCGACGCCGCGUGCGGGAUGGAGGCCUUCGGGUUGUAAACCGCUUUUGUUCAAGGGCAAGGCACGGUUUCGGCCGUGUUGAGUGGAUUGUUCGAAUAAGCACCGGCUAC
rnacentral:rRNA from 1 species